rnacentral:lncRNA from 1 species
GUGUCCUGACUCGAUCCCUGACCCAAAGGCUGUUCAGUACGUGCGUAAUGACCGUGGCACUCCCAUGGUGCUAGACAACAAUUACUACCGUAACAUCCUAGACAACAAGGGUUUGCUCCUUGUCGACCAUCAGCUCGCACACGACAAAAGGACCAGACCAAUUGUUAAGAAGAUGGCUAAGGACCAGGCCUACUUCUUCAAGGAGUUCACUAGAGCGAUCCAGAUCUUAUCCGAGAACAACCCUUUGACCGGCUCUAAGGGUGAGAUUAGGAAGCAAUGUAAUCUCGCAAACAAGAACCACUAAAGUUGGAAAAAAGUGAGAAAAGACAGAGGCUCUGGUGUGUUGGGGUUCUCUGCUUGGUACGUAUCGAAACCAAGAUGAAUAAAGGAAUCUUUUAAAGUUAAAAUCAAAGAAAGGGUGAUGAUGAAUGCAUCAUGGUGGUGACCACUCCCUUCUUUUGUGUGUUCUUGUUGUAGCCUUAAUGCUUUAAUUAUGAUGUUAGUGGUCUUUGAGUUAUUUAAAUCUAAAAUGUUG